AUACUUACCUGGCAGAGGAGAUACCAUGAUCACAAAGGUGGUUUUCCCAGGCCGAGGUUUAUCCAUUGUACUCCCAAUGUGCUGACCCCUGCGAUUUCCCCAAAUUUCACCGGACUUGAUUUGAGUUCUUCUCUGUCUUCAAGACUGGAGCUCUUUGGAAGUCACCGAU